rnacentral:rRNA from 1 species
ACUACCAUGGUUUCUACGGGUAACGGAGAAUUAGGGUUCGAUUCCGGAGAGGGAGCCUGAGAAACGUAAGUCAAUUGAUUCCACUAAUGCAUUUAUCAGUCAAAACUAACAUUCAAUCAGGGCUACCACAUCCAAGGAAGGCAGCAGGCGCGCAAAUUACCCAAUUCUGAUACAGAGAGGUAGUGACAAGAAAUACUGAUAGAGAACUCUUUUGGGUUUUCUAAUUGGAAUGAGUACAAUCUAAACCCCUUAACGAGGAACAAUUGGAGGGCAAGUCUGGUGCCAGCAGCCGCGGUAAUUCCAGCUCCAAUAGCGUAUAUUAAAGUUGUUGCAGUUAAAAAGCUCGUAGUUGAAACUUGGGUCUGGCUGACCGGUCCGCCUCACCGCGUGCACUGGCUUGGCCGGGCCUUUCCUUCUGGGGAAUUGCAUGCCCUUCAUUGGGUGUGUUAAGGAUCCAGGACUUUUACUUUGAAAAAAUUAGAGUGUUCAAAGCAGGCAUAUGCUCGAAUACAUUAGCAUGGAAUAAUAGAAUAGGGCGUGUGGUUCUAUUUUGUUGGUUUCUAGACCAAACGCAAUGAUUAAUAGGGAUAGCCGGGGGCAUCUGUAUUCCGCUGUCAGAGGUGAAAUUCUUGGAUUUGCGGAAGACAAACUACUGCGAAAGCAUUUGCCAAGGAUGUUUUC